UUGCGAUAAGUAAUGUGAAUUGCAGAAUUACGUGAAUCAUCGAAUCUUUGAACGCAUAUUGCACUCUCUGGUAAUCCGGGGAGUAUGCCUGUUUGAGGGUCAGUAAAAAUAAUAAUUAUCGCGAAUCGUUUUCGAUUCGCGGAAUUGGGCUUUUAUUUCGACAGAUCUAUGGCCUUAAAUUACGUUUAUUGGCUUGUUGUAUAUGAAAUCCGACCAAAGGAGCAAUCAAACAAAUUCUCUCGUCGGCGGAUUUUCGCGAGCCGUUACGAUUUUUGGAUGCCUAAAAGCACUCUCACGAGCGUUCAGCCAAAGUCGUAAGCUUACUCUAACAAUGACCUCAAAUCAGGCAAGAAUACCCGCUGAACUUAA
rnacentral:misc_RNA from 1 species